rnacentral:lncRNA from 1 species
GCACAAUGUUACGAGGUGGAGGUACACAAGACCAACUGAACGUUCCUCCAAUAACAUGAAGAUUUUCGCAACGGUUUUUUUCCUGACGGCACAGGUUAUGCUUGUUGGAAGUGAUGGGUGCAUUGCGAGAUCCCACACAAUGAGAGGAUGCAGGUUUAUGGGCCACAGUCUCAGGAACGGCGAAAGCCUGGCACUCAUCCAACCCUGCGUUCGAGUUAUAUGCCUUCUUAAUGGACUCGGACUCCGACUCCGAACGUGUCCAUUCCAAACUGGCCAAAGCGUAGAUGUUGCAGGUCUGGGACAAGCAAGCCCGGUCGCCUACCCACAUUGCUGCGAGCGCUGCCGAGCUAUUCGAUG